CUCUCAGAAGGCGCCAGAACGGGGAAUGAUGACUCUGCAGUCCCUGUGCGAAAAACAGUAGGGCUUUUGGAAAGUGGUCGUUCUGAGAACAAUGACACGGGCAUUAAAAUUGAUUUUAAACAGCGCUUGACAUGCUUCGAAGUACGGUAAUGGAAUAUUUUGAUUUCUUUUGUCACGAUACGCGCCGGCGCGUCACCCUUCGGAUAGUGUCUUGAACGCAAGAACAAAACGCAGCUAUUUGGAUAUAACUAUGGAUUAUUUGGAACCAAAACAACAUUGGGUGUUGAAGUAGAAGUCCUGGGAGUGCAUUCUGACGAAGAACAGCAAAAGUGGUACAUAAUCUGAUUCCACCGACAUGUGCUUCCAACCCCUAGCUCUGCACUAGUUGAAAGUUAUCUGGAAUCCUUCCACAGUGCCCUGCUGAAAAAUACCCCAAAGUGUCUGCAAUUUGGGUACACAAGCCUGAGGGAGCGGACACACCCUGCGUAUAUGGAGCACAAUAAGAUUGUGGGACAGAAACCAGAAAGGGACACUCAAAAGUAUAAAAUCAAGACUACAACAGUAAUGGCACAACCACCUCAUUAUUCUAUCUGCAGAUUCUCAAAACACAAUACAAAGACAUGUCUACAAAAUUCCCCUGCAAAUGGCUACUAUUGACAAGAAUGAUUUGUCAAAAUCAAUGGGCUGGGAGAGGUUUACAGACAGUACGCUGAGAUGGUGAAGGGUUUUUUGGUUGUGCAGGGUUGUGAUUAGACAGUAAAUGUACAAUUUCUCCUCAAUCUGCCAUACACAACAAUUCAUACUGUGUAAGAACUGUCUUCCUAAGACUUUUCACACCUUCUUUAGCCCCCCCAGCCCAUUCACUUAGUUGACUGAUCUUUUCUCUCAAAAGCAGCUCCCAAAGUCCCCUCACUGUCCCUAAAAAAUACGCUAGCCGGUCCGAUUCGUUGAUACCUUUACCAACAAUGGUGUAUUGCCCUACAUCCCUUCGACAAAAGUGUAAAAUGCUAAGACCACAACCAUGUCUUUACAGGAGACGUGCAGUCCCAGCAGCUAUUCUACAGAGGACAAAACAGUUGGUGGAUAUGAAGCCUUUACACCACUUUCAGCAGAGUCUUAUCCAGCUGGCUGUUCACCACAGACAGGACAAGCCCAUCGCCUUAAGCACAAAGAGUCUCAGCUUCCCCAGCCCACCAUUGCCAGUGUACUGAAGUUCUGACUGGAUAAACACAGCUAAUUAUUAGAAUCAGGUGUGCUAGAUUAGGGUUGGAGUGAAAACCUACAGGACGGUAGCUCUCCAGGAAUAGGGUUGGAAAACCCUGAUGUAGAUCCACCAUAAAAUAAAUAUGGAGAUUUUCUAUCAAUCUUUGAAAUGUUUCUGCCCUUAUGGAUUCAUAGAAGAUAUUUAUAAGCUGUGAAGGGCUCUGUACCAUCAAACAGAUGCUAGACAUUCAGAUAUCCAAAGAUUGUUUGUUUAUUUGUCAAAAUCUAAAAUACAGGAGAGUGUACACUAUUUAAUGCUAACUCAAGAGAAGUGAGUAUUCAACAAAAAUGUUAUAUGGUGAAGUAACAAAAAAAAUGUAUGAACAGUGUAGUACAGUUCAGUGUGUCCGAGUGUGUCUCAGGUGUAGAGAAACAUAAGUGCAGAGAACUGUAGUUACAGACUAUUACACCAGGUAAUGAGAUUUUCCCAAAGAUUUUUGCCCACAUCUGGUCUAUUUCAAGUCUUCUCUCAUUGGUUGAGACAGCUGGGUGUCCACCCUAAAGUGCUGCAUGUCAUGAUAACAGAAACCUGUCUUGAUCAAUGAGUUAGAAUACUGGAAAUAAUGAUGGCGGUGGACAUAUUGUUGGAUUACUCCAUUUACAUUUUAGUCAUUUAGCAGACGCUCUUAUCCAGAGCGACUUACAGUAGUGAAUGCAUACAUUUCAUACAUGUUUUUCUUCUUCUCCGUACUGGUCCCCCAUGGGAAUCGAACCCACAACCCUGGCGUUGCAAACACCAUGCUCUACCAACUGAGCCACAUGGGACCUAUUGAGCAAUAAAAGUUAUUUUAAUUAACAAAGCAUUUUCUAAAUUCAAACUAACCCCCUGAAACUGGACACAGACAUUUUAUGAGACUCCUGUUUCUCCGAAUCGAGGAUGAAGAUGACAUUUCUAAGGUUGGUCAUACAUUCUCUGUGCUACACCAAACAGUACCUAUCCUGUAACUCACCAUAACAGAUAUCAAAAAUCUUUGGUAAAAUCUCAUUAUCCUGUUUAGGAUAGGGGGCAGUAUUGACACGGCUGGAUAAAAAACAUACCCGAUUUAAUCUGGUUACCACUCCUACCCAGUAACUAGAAUAUGCAUAUACUUAUUACAUAUGGAUAGAAAAC
rnacentral:lncRNA from 1 species